rnacentral:piRNA from 1 species
UCCCAGUGAUGCAAAAUGUUGUACUGAGG